UUAAAUUGAAGAGUUUGAUCAUGGCUCAGAUUGAACGCUGGCGGCAGGCCUAACACAUGCAAGUCGAACGGUAACAGGAAUCAGCUUGCUGAUUUGCUGACGAGUGGCGGACGGGUGAGUAAUGUCUGGGAAACUGCCUGAUGGAGGGGGAUAACUACUGGAAACGGUAGCUAAUA
rnacentral:rRNA from 1 species